GAUGAACGCUGGCGGCGUGCCUAAUACAUGCAAGUCGAGCGAAAAGACGAGGAGCUUGUUCCUCUGACGUUAGCGGCGGACGGGUGUGUAACACGUGGAUAAUCUACUUAUAAGACUGGGAUAAUUUCGGGACACCGGAGCUUAUCCCGUAUAAUCUAUUGCUUCGUAUGGUUCAAUAGUGAAAGACGGUUUUGCUGUCUGUUAUAGCUGGAUCUGCGCCGCAUUAGCUAGUUGGUAAGGUAACGGCUUACCAGGGCGGCGAUGCGUAGACGACCUGUGAGGGUGGUCGGCCACACUGGAGCUGGAACACGCUCCAGGCUCCUACGGGAGGCAGCAGUAGGGAAUCGGCCGCAAUGGUCGAAAGCCUUGCAGAGCAACGCCACGUGAGUGAUGAAGAUCCUCGGUUCGUAAAACUCGGUUAUUGGGUAAGAACAAAUUUGUAAUUAACUAUGCACGUCUUGACGGUACCUAAUCAGAAAGCCACGGCUAACUACGUG
rnacentral:rRNA from 1 species